GGGCGGUUAGCUCAGUUGGUAGAGCGCCACGUUUACACCGUGGAUGUCGGCAGUUCGAGCCUGUCACCGCCCACCA
rnacentral:tRNA from 5 species